rnacentral:lncRNA from 1 species
UUUAUUUAUUUAUUUGUGUUGACUGGGUCACUUGUGGUAAGUGAGUCAUCAAAGCAGAAAGUGUCAACUCAUCAGGGGAUAUGUAGUCCCAAUCCUACGUUCAAGAAAGAGGUAGGGAAGUGAUUUGAAACAAGAAGCCAAAACAUCCCAAAUCAAGUUAGCUCUCCUGAUUCCUGUUAUCAAAACGAUUGUUGUGAAAGGCUAAUCAAGAAAAUUAUUGUAAAAUAUACUUGACAAUAGUAAUUUUUAAAGGUCAGAAAUGUAAGUGGGCAUGAGGGGGAUGACAGGAAUCAGAAAAAUUUUUUCUGAUUUUAUCUAAUCAUGGUAUAAAAUGACAAGAACAACCAUUUUAACGACUGUGUUGGUGAUAAAUGCCACUAUCAGGUAAAUCUUUAGCUUAAGAGAGUAAAAUAUUCAAAUAAAAAAAGCUUCAAAAGGAAACACACAAACAGACAUGCAUACACACAUAUGGUAAAUGUUAUUCAUUAUUAUUUUAUUUGUUUGAGGAUUUCAUAAAUGAAAUACAAUGUAUUUUCAAUAUCUCUACCCCAAUUUCUCCCAAAACACCUCUCUUAAACUCAUGUUCCUGUCUUUUAUAAUUAUUUUAGUCAUAUAUUACACACACAAACACACACUUGAUUUUUCCUAUUGACAUUUGACUCUCAGGAGAUUAUAGUAUGCCUUAAUCUUUAUAUCUGUUUCUCCCCUCUAGGUUAACUGGGUCUGGUGUUUACCCCAGGAUAUAAAGAUCUUUGAGCAUGUACCUCUACCACAGGCUUUCCUCCCUAAGAUACACUUUUACCUGCCAUUGACUUUGUACCUUCCAUGCUUCAAAUAACUCCUUCCACUAAUCUUGCUACCUAACAUUUUACCCCAUAAGACUUACCAAGUGAUAGAAAAUCAUAAAACAAAACAAGCUGAUGCUCUUCCCUGGAAAACUCUGACUUUGUAAAAUUAUCAAAGUGAUUUAGGCAGGUUUAAUGUUCAAUUUGUUAUUGGCUGAUGUGCCGGUUUACAUAUUUAACUUUAUUUGAACAAAUAAAAAGCCUAUGGACUUUUCUUUUUCUUACAGACAAUGUAAACAUGUCGAAAUGAUAUUAUAUAUUUAUUGAAUAUAUAUUCCCUAAACUACUGAGUUUAGGGUUGUUCUCUGUUGGAUGAAGUUUGUAAGAGACUAAUUCCACACAAUGUCUUUGAAGUUUAGAUGAAGUCUACCUGACUAAUCUUUAGCAUACUCAACAGACCAUAGUAAAUGUUAGGAAAUUUUGUUCUUGAAAACAGUGUUGUUAAGGUUACUUGUGUACUGAAAGCUCUGAGUUAUUUUAUUUCUGAGCUCUGGGCUCUUUUGUAUUACUGAGUUCUCAGAGUCUCCCUUUGUGAAUAGGUCUUUCUAUUUUGGGUAACUUUAAAUGAAUUUGCACGAGGUGGGCAAAUAAUAAUUUUAUCUCAAGAUACAGACAAUCACAAAUUUAAGAAAAUCCUGUUUCAUCAUUAUGAAAUGGUUUUAAAAUUUUUUUCUUCUUUUCUUUCACACAUACAAAAAAGCUCAGCAGUUAGGGAAUAUAUAUUGAAGAAGUAUGUACAUAUCAUCUGUGCAUAUUUACAUUGCCUGU